rnacentral:rRNA from 1 species
UACGAAGGGGGCUAGCGUUGUUCGGAAUGACUGGGCGUAAAGGGCGCGUAGGCGGCGAUUUUAGUCAGGCGUGAAAGCCCUGGGCUUAACCUAGGAACUGCGUUUGAUACUGGAUCGCUUGAGUGUGGGAGAGGAUGGUGGAAUUCCCAGUGUAGAGGUGAAAUUCGUAGAUAUUGGGAAGAACACCGGUGGCGAAGGCGGCCAACUGGACGAAUACUGACGCUGAGACACGAAAGCGUGGGGAGCAAACAGG